CAACUACUCCCUCUGUCCCAAAAUUCUUGUCUUAGAUUUGUCUAGAUACAGAUGUAUCUAAUACUAAAAUGUGACUUGAUACAUCUGUAUCUAGACAAAUCUAAGACAAGAAUUUUGGGACAGAGGGAGUACUUU
rnacentral:pre_miRNA from 1 species